UACGGAGGGUGCAAGCGUUAUCCGGAUUCACUGGGUUUAAAGGGUGCGUAGGUGGGCAGGUAAGUCAGUGGUGAAAUCUUUGGGCUUAACCCGAAAACUGCCAUUGAUACUAUUUGUCUUGAAUAUUGUGGAGGUCAGCGGAAUAUGUCAUGUAGCGGUGAAAUGCUUAGAUAUGACAUAGAACACCAAUUGCGAAGGCAGCUGGCUACACAUCAUAUUGACACUGAUGCACGAAAGCGUGGGGAUCAAACAGG
rnacentral:rRNA from 1 species